GUGUCCCUGCCUGUGGCAGGGGCUUGGAACUGGGUGAGCUUCAAGGUCCCUUCCAACCCAAACCCGUCCGGGAUUCUAUGUAUUGAGUCAUGGAUGUGUGAACUGCCCUGGUG